rnacentral:rRNA from 1 species
AUGGAACUAACCCAGACUGACGAUGUUUUCAGCAGAAUUACCAUGGUGUUAUUUAUGUGCAGGAGCAAACGUUCUCGGAAUGACCUGAAACUGCACGGAGACACUUUUCAGAAAAUAAGAAAAAUACCUGCCAAAGAUGAAGGCCAGGGGGACCCCUACCUCAUGGGCCCCCUGUUGCCUCUCCGACUCCACCUCCACCUCCAUAUAUUGAGUUUCGGGGAGAAAAAAAAUCAAGGAGAAGAAAUCAUCGCGUUUUACGAUACAGAGCUGCCGCCAAGCCCUAAAACCUCUCGGGAGGGCUGA